ACAUGGUCCAUGGCGAAACAAAUUGUUGCUAUUGUAUACUUAUUUUUCUGUGAUUCCGAAUACUGAAUUGAACUUCGUUUGUAAAGUCAGUCCGUCAUUCCAACAAGUUGAGACUUAGUGCUCACUGCUCAGUCACUUUCCAUCCGUUAGAUCCUUAUGAUGUCAAAAGCCUGAAACUCAUAUUUGAAGCUCACAUACAGUGGAAUUAGGCGAAAGUUCUUGCACAUGGACCUUAGGAUCUUUAUUGAAUCUUGCAAGUGUAACCUGUGUCAGAAUGUUUGUUGAGUGUCCGACUUUUCUACAGCCAUUCAGAAGGCAACCCAGCUGAAAGAUAGCCAGAUAGAGUUCCAGUUUCAGUGAAUGUACAUGAAGAGUGUGAAGUGUAUUUAGUACAUUUACCAGAUCUGCUUGAUGAAAGUCAAAUGCCUUACUGAAUUCGUCACCCAAAUGAUAAAGUACUAUUUGUGACGUCCCCUGAGAUCGUGAGCCGGCCGCCAGUUUCAAUCUACAACGCAGUUUCUUCAUGGAAUCGUGAGUCCUGAGCCAACGCUGGUUUUUGUCCAUGACAGAAGAAGGACUUCUACCAACGUUCGGGUCCUUAUCUUCACCACGUACGCUGCUUCUUGUGCUUCAUUGGCGAAUUAAAUCACUUCAGUGUUCGCUUCCGCCCGCUGUGACACACCUGUCAUCAUUCACCACGGGAUUAUGCCCAG